AUUGAACGCUGGCGGCAGGCUUAACACAUGCAAGUCGAGCGGAGCGAGGGUGCUUGCACCUUAGCUCAGCGGCGGACGGGUGAGUAAUGCUUAGGAAUCUGCCUAUUAGUGGGGGACAACAUUCCGAAAGGGAUGCUAAUACCGCAUACGCCCUACGGGGGAAAGCAGGGGAUCUUCGGACCUUGCGCUAAUAGAUGAGCCUAAGUCGGAUUAGCUAGUUGGUGGGGUAAAGGCCUACCAAGGUGACGAUCUGUAGCGGGUCUGAGAGGAUGAUCCGCCACACUGGGACUGAGACACGGCCCAGAUUCCUACGGGAGGCAGCAGUGGGGAAUAUUGGGCAAUGGGCGGAAGCCUGAUCCAGCCAUGCCGCGUGUGUGAAGAAGGCCUUUUGGUUGUAAAGCACUUUAAGCGAGGAGGAGGCUACUAGUAUUAAUACUACUGGAUAGUGGACGUUACUCGCAGAAUAAGCACCGGCUAACUCUGUGCCAGCCGCCGCCGUAA
rnacentral:rRNA from 1 species